GAGGGUUUAGCUUAAUUAAAGUGUCUGAGUUGCAAUCAGGAGAUGUAUGUGUGAUUACAGCCCUU
rnacentral:tRNA from 1 species